CUUCGAUCAUUCACCAUGUGCAUCCUCAUACCUCUCAUUACAUCACAAGAAUGAAUAUGUAAAUGUAUUUUCUUGGUUACAGUACCAAAAGUUUCCUCACAUGUCCUACACAUUCCAUAAAGCCAGCAUGGUUUUGCCGAAAUCUUAUGUAGGCUGCUCCUCUCAUGGCCAUGCCCCUUUUCCAGCAAUACCAGAGAGAUUUAUGCUUGGGCCCAGAUUCUCUGUUUUAACUUUCAAGCUGUAUUU